AAAGCUUCUUCGGAAGUUAGUAAAGCGGCGAACGGGUUNAUAACGCGUGAGAAUCUACCCUAUAGUGUGGAAUACCUUNGGGAAACCGAAGAUAAUACCGCAUGUCGAUUUAUGUAGAGAUGUAUAAGUAAAAAGGUGGCCUCUUUGCUACCGCUAUGGGAUGAGCUUGCGUACUAUCAGCUAGUUGGUGGGGUAAUGGCCUACCAAGGCAAUGACGGUUAGCCGGCCUGAGAGGGCGAUCGGCAACACUGGAACUUAGAUACGGUCCAGACUCCUACGGGAGGCAGCAGUGGGGAAUAUUGCACAAUGGGCGAAAGCCUGAUGCAGCGACGCCGCGUGAAGGAUGAAGGUCUACGGAUUGUAAACUUCUGUUAGAUGGGAAGAAAUGUCUGCUCCUAAUAUGAGCGGAAGAUGACGGUACCAUCAGAGAAAGCACCGGCUAAACUCGUGCCAGCAGCCGCGGUAAUACGAGUGGUGCAAGCGUUAUUCGGAAUCACUGGGCGUAAAGGGUGUGUAGGCGGCUUUUCAAGUUUGUUGUUAAAUCUCCCGGCCUAACCGGGAAUGUGCAACGAAUACUGAUUUGAUAGAGGGUGGAAGAGAGAAGUGGAAUUCUUGGAGUAGCGGUAAAAUGCGUAGAUAUCAAGAGGAACACCGAUGGCGAAGGCAGCUUCUUGGUCCACACCUGACGCUGAUACACGAAAGCGUGGGGAGCAAACAGGAUUAGAUACCCUGGUAGUCCACGCCGUAAACGAUGAUCACUUGAUGUUGGUUUUGCUUUGCAGAAUCAGUGUCGUAGCUAACGCGAUAAGUGAU
rnacentral:rRNA from 1 species